GUCUGUGUGUGUUUGUGUGUGUGUGUGUGUCUGACUGUGUGUGUGUGUGUGUGUGUCUGACUGUGUAUGUGUGUGUGUUUGUGUCUGACUGUGUCUGUGUAUGUGUCUGACUGUGUGUGUGUGUGUGUGUGUGUUUGUGUAUGUGUCUGACUGUGUGCUGACUGUGUAUGUGCGUUUGUGUCUGACUGUGUCUGUGUAUGUGUCUGACUGUGUGUGUGUGUGUGUUUGUGUAUGUGUCUGACUGUGUGUGUGUGUGUGUGUGUGUGUGUGUGUGUGUCUGUCUGUGUGUGUGUGUGUUUGUGUCUGACUGUGUGUGUGUGUAUUU